GUCAUCAAAUCAGGUACUGAGGAAAUGGAGUUCUAGAACUUCCUUUGUGGGACUUCUCCAAACCCAGUCUUCUCAUUGGCUCACGGGAGGAACAAGUCCUUCUCGAAUAGCCUCUCAUGACUGUGCUGAGCAUGAAGUCUGAACUGUGUCCCUAACAUGCCAGAAAGGAGGAGACUGCUGACUCAUUGGGCCAAUGGUUUAAUGAUGUUAGAAGGUGUCCCCUGUGAAUCUCUCAAUUGUCACCUCCCUACAGCAAGAUGGCUGCUGCCACUAGACGUGGUGGCCCUAUGCAAGAAUGGUGAGCUCAUAGUGCAGAAAGAACUCCAAACAAAGGUCAAAAACUGAUUCAUAUGAAAAAAUCAAAAUAAGGAGAGACAUUAAUAGUAUGGCGGCAAAGAACAUUGACUUGAGCAUCAGGUUCUCCUAAGUUCUAGGCCCAGUUCCCCUGCUUGCCAAUGGUGUGAC